rnacentral:rRNA from 1 species
GUUUGAUCAUGGCUCAGAUUGAACGCUGGCGGCAGGCUUAACACAUGCAAGUCGAGCGGGGGAAGGUAGCUUGCUACUGGACCUAGCGGCGGACGGGUGAGUAAUGCUUAGGAAUCUGCCUAUUAGUGGGGGACAACAUCUCGAAAGGGAUGCUAAUACCGCAUACGUCCUACGGGAGAAAGCAGGGGAUCUUCGGACCUUGCGCUAAUAGAUGAGCCUAAGUCGGAUUAGCUAGUUGGUGGGGUAAAGGCCUACCAAGGCGACGAUCUGUAGCGGGUCUGAGAGGAUGAUCCGCCACACUGGGACUGAGACACGGCCCAGACUCCUACGGGAGGCAGCAGUGGGGAAUAUUGGACAAUGGGGGGAACCCUGAUCCAGCCAUGCCGCGUGUGUGAAGAAGGCCUUAUGGUUGUAAAGCACUUUAAGCGAGGAGGAGGCUACUUUAGUUAAUACCUAGAGAUAGUGGACGUUACUCGCAGAAUAAGCACCGGCUAACUCUGUGCCAGCAGCCGCGGUAAUACAGAGGGUGCGAGCGUUAAUCGGAUUUACUGGGCGUAAAGCGUGCGUAGGCGGCUUAUUAAGUCGGAUGUGAAAUCCCCGAGCUUAACUUGGGAAUUGCAUUCGAUACUGGUGAGCUAGAGUAUGGGAGAGGAUGGUAGAAUUCCAGGUGUAGCGGUGAAAUGCGUAGAGAUCUGGAGGAAUACCGAUGGCGAAGGCAGCCAUCUGGCCUAAUACUGACGCUGAGGUACGAAAGCAUGGGGAGCAAACAGGAUUAGAUACCCUGGUAGUCCAUGCCGUAAACGAUGUCUACUAGCCGUUGGGGCCUUUGAGGCUUUAGUGGCGCAGCUAACGCGAUAAGUAGACCGCCUGGGGAGUACGGUCGCAAGACUAAAACUCAAAUGAAUUGACGGGGGCCCGCACAAGCGGUGGAGCAUGUGGUUUAAUUCGAUGCAACGCGAAGAACCUUACCUGGCCUUGACAUACUAGAAACUUUCCAGAGAUGGAUUGGUGCCUUCGGGAAUCUAGAUACAGGUGCUGCAUGGCUGUCGUCAGCUCGUGUCGUGAGAUGUUGGGUUAAGUCCCGCAACGAGCGCAACCCUUUUCCUUACUUGCCAGCAUUUCGGAUGGGAA